UCCCGUGACAAAAUUCCUGAUCUGCUAUUAGUUGGGCCUCGAGUCUUUCCUGUGUGACCAAUUCAUCCACGUGAUCUCUCUGCAUCCCCGCUCCACUUCGUGUCCUAGGCCUAAUCGCCGCACCGGCGAUGACGGUGAGUGAUGCUUUGGGUUGCUGCCACCAGCCCUACUGCUCCCGGUCCCUCUGGUUGUGUUCAUCAAGGUUCCAGUCAACUGAUUUGGGCAAAUCUUGGAGGUUGGUACUCAUCGAGCCGCCGAUCUUCAAUCUGAUCCAUUCAAGUCAGGCUUGACUGAUCGAUGCAGGGCGAAUCAAGGCGGGCCUGACUGAUUGAUGCAGGGCGAAGCAAGGCCGGGGUCAAUUUUUGUUGGUUCUAUCGGUAACGGCCUCGCUCGACACUUCCUUGGCGUUGACACUUACAUGCGGUGGAUUUUCACGCCCCUACGCCCCUUCUUCACUGGACAAUAAUACAAAGGUUGCAGGUACAGGCAAAGCGAUGCUUUGACGUGAGAGCGAUGCUUGCUUGUCUUGGAGUUCUUCUUCUGCUUCUUCUUCUUCGAUCAAGGGAUAGGUUCCGGGUCGGGGAGCCUGGGAUUAGCAGGGUGGAUGUCAUUCUUCUUUUCGUUUGUUUUCAUCCGUAGUCGGAUCCUGCUCUUUUGUAUGAUGAUUGUUAUGUAUUGAUGAACUGUUGUAUUCAUGUUGUAGCUUGUGGCGAGUGUAAGCCUUUAACUUGUAUUCUCAUCUAUUCAGUACAUGGUAUGUUGUAAUGAUAUCCACCUUGCUAUGCGCUCGAAAUACGAUUGUGCCUCGAUCAUGAAUUCAUCACAUGAUUGGGAUAGAAUCGCAUCUUGGGCGCUAUACGGUUUCACUGA